rnacentral:rRNA from 2 species
GAUAUUAACGCAGACAGUGAAUGCCUUGGUGCAAGUUGCCGAAGAAGGACGCACAUGGUAGCGAUAUUCGUCGGGGAGGAGCCACGAUCCUUUGAUCCGGCGGUGUCCGAAUGGGGAAACCCUACCAACUUCAUAGUUGGUAACUCCACAGCCAAAGUUCCGAUUUAAUCGGAACAUAACUGUGGUAGAGGGAACCGUCCAAACUGAAACAUCUAAGUAGGGCGAGGAAGAGAAAUCAAUCGAUAUUCCGUCAGUAGCGGAGAGCGAAAGCGGAAAAGCCCAAACCCUUGUGCGCUGCACACAGGUAGUUAUUAGUUAUUGGUUCAUGGUUCGUAGUUAAGAAAAAUUACUAUGAACUAUGAACUAACUAACCAACUAACUAUUUGCGCGCAGCGUGCGAGGGGGUUGUAGGAGCCCAACGUGGGAGUUGACUUAAUAGCAGAACCAUCUGGAAUGAUAGACCACAGAGAGUGAAAGUCUCGUAUGCAAAAUUAAGUUGACCUCUAGGGAAUUCCUGAGUAUCCCGAUGUAAACUCUUCGGGAGAAGCUGGGGGAACCAUCCUCCAAGGCUAAAUACGACUUGCAACCGAUAGUGAACUAGUACCGUGAGGGAAAGGCGAAAAGAAGGGCGGGACGCCCAGUGAAAUAGAACCUGAAACUGUUUGCGGACAAACCGUAAGAGCUCGUGCUUCGCACUCGCUUGGUUAGUUAGUUCAUAGUUCGGAGUUCAUGGUAAAGAAAUUCACUAUGAACCAUGAACCAAUAACUAAUAACUAAUCGAACGAACGCGGAGCGUGAGUGAUUGCGUGCCUAUUGAAGAAUGAGCCGGCGAGUUGUCGUUUGGUGCAGCUUAACCCCGCACCUAAGUAGCAUAAAUAUUACCUGAUUUGAGUUCUAUCUUAUUUCAACGCUAAAUUUUCUAUGGAUAGUUUGAGUUUAUUGAAAUUAGGAUUCAUAUUUUGGAAAAUCAGAUGCUAUUUAGGUGCGGGGGGAGGCAUAGGGAAACCAAGUUUUAAUAGAGCGUUUAGUACCAAGCGGCAGACCCGAAACCGGGUGAUCUAUCCAUGAGCAGGGUGAACCCCGCAGAAGUGCGGGAGGAGGCCCGAACCGGUUGAUGUUGCAAUAUCAUCGGAUGACUUGUGGAUAGCGGUAAAAUGCCAAACGAACCCGGAGAUAGCUGGUUCUCCCCGAAAGGUCUAUAGGGACCGUGGUACGUCAGGUGUUAUCGGUGGUAGAGCUACUGAAUGGGAUAGCGAGGGUAACCGAGUUAUUUCAACCAAACUCCGAAUAACGAUGUACACUAACGUGCUAAACAGUCGCAUCGGGCUAAGCUGAUGCGGCGAAAGGGAAACAUCCCAGACUCUCAGCUAAGGCCUCUAAAUUGCAGCUAAGUUUUAAAGGAAGUUCGCGUCCUUAGACACCCAGGAGGUUGGCUUAGAAGCAGCCACCCUUUAAAGAUAGCGUAACAGCUCACUGGUUGAGGUUGUGGGCGCCGAAAAUUUAUCGAGGAUAAGCUGUAUGCCGAAGCUGGAGAUUUCGUGCGUAGCACGAAGGAUUUUAGGAAUGUAGGAUAAAAGUGAUAAGUCAAGGUUAAGAUUUUAAUGUUGUAUUCUGAUUGGUCACUAGAAUCCUAUUAUCUUAGUAUCUUUCGCGCUAUGCGCGAUAUGGUAGGGGAGCGUUCCAUAUACGGUGAAGUCGUUUUGUAAAAAACGGUGGAGUGUAUGGAAGUGAGAAUGCCGGUAUGAGUAGCGUACUACUCCGGUGAGAAUCCGGAGCACCGAAUGCCCGAGGAUUCCGCCCAGACGUUCGUCGAGGGCGGGUUAAUCGGUACCUAAGGGAAGGCCGAAAGGCGUACCCGAUGGAUAACUGGUCAAAAUUCCAGUAUUUAUUUUGAAUCGCCCACUUGUCCGUAGGACAAGUGCGCAGAAAUAUGCGGAAGUUAGAUAUACGCAGAAUGACGCAGAAUUUUCAGCGUUUUUCAGCGUAAAUUUCAGCAUUAUUCAGCGUACUCGUCCUGCGGACGAGAACUGGGGGUUGACUGGAUAGGAUGGUUGGAGCCCCAUAACGAUUUGGGGUGUAAGUUAUAAGAUAGUGUCAGCAGGAAAAUCCGCUAAUACGUUUAAUCGAAUAACGAUGCAGAGUCUUGUGCAAACAGGACAAUUUCAUCCCAUUCAAUCUACAAGAAAAGGCUCGCAGUGAGAUUCAAAGUAAGCCGUACCGCAAACCGACACAGGUGGGCUGGUCGAGAAGACUAAGGUGAGCGAGAGAAAGAGGUUCAAGGAACUCGGCAAAAAAUCUGGACGUAAGUUCGCAAGAUGUCCUGUCGCCGCAAGGCGACUACAACAAAAGAGUGCUAACCGACUGUUUAUCAAAAACACAGGUCCGUGCAAAAGCGUAAGCUGAAGUAUACGGGCUGACGCCUGCCCAGUGCCGGUAAGUUAAGAGGAUGGGUGGUCCGAUGUUACAUCGGACUGCUCUGAAUUCAAGCUCCGGUAAACGGCGGCUUUAACUAUAAGAGUCCUACGGUGGAAAAUUCGCCGCCGUAGUAAAAUCUGACUAUAUGCUGGAAAAUCCGGUGUAUCCCGUGCUACUCUUGAAAUAGAGUAAAAAAGCAACAGGUGCGGAUAAUCAGCAGGAAAGGUUCUUAAAGAAAAAUUUAAGAAAAUCCUCAGAGACUAUACGUCAGACUCCAGUUAGAUAAUUUUGUAUCUGAUGGAGAUGAUAUAGUCCGAUCCUUAUAGCGAUAUAAGGUUUUGCAAAAAAGCGUGCAAAUAUAAAACAAGCGUUAGUUUGUUGUUUUUUUGACUAAUCACUAGUCACUAAUUACUAAUAACUAUUUUUGAGCGAAGUUCCUUGUCGUGUAAGUUACGACCUGCACGAAAGGCGUCACGAGUUAGCAACUGUCUCGAGCCUCUACUCGGCGAAAUUGCGUUGGCUGUGAAGACGCGGCCUACUUCCACCAGGACAAAAAGACCCCGUGGAGCUUUACUGUAGCUUGGCAUUGUUUUGUGCGAGCCAAUUGUACAGAAUAGGAGGGAGAGUGUGCGUUGCACACAGGUAGUUAUUGGUUCAUGGUUCGUAGUUAAGAAAAAUUACUAUGAACUACGAACUAACUAACCAACUAACUAUUUGCGCGCAGCGCAUGCUCAAUCGUGUAAUACCUCCCUUUGGAACGUGGCAAGACUUACCUAAGUCGCCUGAACACGGCGACAGGGAAAGUGCUAGGUGGGCAGUUUUACUGGGGCGGUACCUUGCCAAAAGGUAACGCAAGGGUACAAAGGUCGGCUUAGUACGGAUGGACAUCGUACUGAAUGUAUAAAGGCAUAAGCCGGCUUGACUGCGACAGUGACGGCUGGAGCAGGAACGAAAGUUGGUCUUAGUGAUCCCCCAAACCAGUGUGGAAUGGUUGGGGCUUAACGGAUAAAAGCUACCCCGGGGAUAACAGAGUAGUCGCACCCGAGAGUCCAUAUCGACGGUGCGGUUCGCUACCUCAACAUUGACAUCGGGGUCCUCCGAUAGUGAUAUUGGAGUGCUGUUUUUUAAGUUCCCCAGAACUUAAAAGAAAAUUCGACUCAUAACGGUGAAACCCUACUUGAAUUUGGGUAACUUUCGGGUUAUUCUAUUUUAAGGGGUAAUACCGUGGGAAGUUUACAUUUUUGUCGGAAAACUCGGAAUACUCGGAGAACCAGAACUUCAGAGUAUCGGAAUACCAGAGAACCUGAUAACAUCAUAAUAUGAUUCGGGAUGUUACGGACCUUGAAGUAUACCGAUUAUCUCUGAAACUUCUAAAAAAGUUAUAUUUGUUUCUUCGAAAAGUUCCAAGAUCAGAAUAUGAUACUGUUCGCCAAUGUAAAAGAGCAGGAAAAGGAAUCCCGGCACAUAUUGCUGAAGGAUUUGCAAAAAGAUCUUCAGAAGCUGAAUUUAAGCGAUAUUUGAAGAUAGCAAUUGGUACAAGUGAUGAGAUUAUUUCUCACUUGCGGACUGUUGCAAUUGCAGUACCAAGACUUGCUCAAGAAGCAAAAGAGCUUGCGGAAGAAUACAAAAUUCUUUCAAAAAGACUAAAUAGGCUUCAUACAAUUUGGCGUUCUGGUAAUUUCUGAUGUUCCGACGUAUACAACUAUCUGAUUCUCAGACAUUCUGAGUUAUCAGAGUUUUCUGAAAUGUAUAACCCCGUAUCGACUUGUCCGAGUUAACAUCGGACAGAUGGAAAUUUUUGGCGUUAUGCCAAAAUCAUAGUUUUCAUAACACGUCGACACCCCGCAAAGUUGUGCGGGAUGAAGGUAUAGUCAAGCCACUACGUAAGUAGAUGGAUUUAAGGCGAUGUCGGCUCACCGCAUCCUGGGGGGGGAGCACCUCCCAAGGGUUGGUCUGUUCGCCCAUUAAAGCGGUACGUGAGCUGGGUUCAGAACGUCGUAAGACAGUUCGGACUCUAUCCGGUGGAAGCGUUCGAGUCUUGAAGGGAGCUCUCCUCAGUACGAGAGGACCAGGAGGGAGGAAUCCCUGGUGUGCCGGUUGUGGCAUCAGCCGCAACGCCGGGUAGCUACAUUCCUAAGGGAUAACCGCUGAAAGCAUCUAAGUGGGAAGCCCACCCUAAGAUUAGGACUCGUUAUUAGAUCCCAGAAAGAAUAUCUGGUUGAUAGACUGGAAGUGGAAGGGCAGCAAUGCCUUAAGCUUACCAGUACUAAUCGAUCGAUUUCAGACUUU